rnacentral:rRNA from 1 species
CCGUAAAUUUGCCCGGCAGGGACAUGCAGGCUGACAUUGUUCAGCGCCUGAAUGGUGCGCGCCCCCUGCUGGAACACUUUGGUAAUAUUCGAAAGUUUAAUCAUUGAUUCUUUAUUAUCGUAAUGAAAUGAGCGGAGGCAUUUUCGUCUGCCUAAUACGGUCAACGCCGUCAACAGAAUGGAUGUUAAGGCAUCCAGACGUCUAAAUCAAUCAGGCUUUAUACGAUGAGCACUUUCUUGCCUGCUGAAACAUGCGAUACUAGCGCCACUUGCUUUACUCAGGAGCUAUAAAAGGUGGCAAAGUCUGUACCCGCAAUUUUUCUCGACCGUGACGGCACCAUUAAUGUGGAUCACGGCUACGUACAUGAAAUCGAUGCAUUUGAGUUUAUAGACGGCGUUAUUGACGCGAUGCGCGAGCUAAAAAAAAUGGGCUAUGCGCUGGUGGUGGUGACGAACCAGUCCGGAAUCGCGCGCGGCAAAUUCACUGAGGCGCAGUUUGAAACGUUAACCGAAUGGAUGGACUGGUCGUUGGCGGAUCGCGAUGUUGAUUUGGACGGCAUCUAUUAUUGUCCUCACCAUCCGCAGGGCAGUAUAGAAGAGUUCCGUCAGGUAUGUGAUUGCCGCAAGCCGCAUCCAGGAAUGCUUAUCUCGGCGCGUGAUUUCCUGCAUAUCGAUAUGGCGGCCUCUUAUAUGGUGGGAGACAAGCUGGAAGAUAUGCAGGCGGCAGCGGCGGCAAAUGUCGGGACAAAAGUGCUGGUGCGUACGGGCAAACCGGUCACGGCAGAAGCAGAAAACGCGGCGGACUGGGUGUUAAACAGCCUUGCCGACCUGCCAUCGGCGAUAAAAAAGCAGCAAAAAUAAGCGUUGUGGAUAAAAGAUGAGCGGUUAAAACAAAAAUACAUUUUUCCGCUUGUCUUCCUGAACUGACUCCCUAUAAUGCGCCUCCAUC